UCCAUCAAUACAUACAUUUUCAUUUCGAUAACAAGAAAAUAAUGCCAGGGAUCACACUAGGAGACACGGUGCCAAACCUAGAGGUGGAGACGACACACAAGAACUUCAAGCUCCAUGACUACUUCGCCGAUUCUUGGACCGUCCUCUUCUCUCACCCUGGUAUAUAAGAACAUCCUUAUAUCUUGACUAACCCAGUCAAGUUUCGUUUUUUUCCUUAAAUUGAUCAAAAUAUAUGAAGCAUCUCCAAUUUAUUUACUCUCCUUAUUGACCAAUGGACUCAAAGGGGAUUUCACACCCGUUUGCACAACCGAGCUUGGUGCGAUGGGAAAAUACGCUCAUGAGUUCGAGCAGAGAGGUGUGAAGCUCCUUGGUUUGUCUUGUGACGACAUACAGUCGCACAAAGAUUGGAUCCCCGACAUUGAGGCAUUUACUGUAAGAUUUAAUUUCAUGCAUGCAUGCAUGAUGCAUAUAAUAUAAAACUAGUUAACAUUUUGACAUACCUGUUACGUUCUCGUUUUGAUUAAUUGCAACUAACAUUGUGUUCUUCUUUUAUUGUGACUUAUAAAAUUGAUAUAGCCUGGAAGCAAAGUGACAUACCCAAUAAUCGCUGAUCCGAACAAAGAGAUCAUCCCUCAGCUUAACAUGAUUGAUCCUAUUGAGAACGGUCCCUCUCGUGCCCUUCAUAUAGUUGGUCCUGAUUGCAAGGUAAAUGAUCAUAUGUCAUAAUUUCAUUCUCAUUUAUUUUUGCAUGUAUAUAUGAUUAAUUAUGAAUUUUUUUAUAGAUAAAGUUGAGUUUCCUGUAUCCGUCCACCACGGGACGUAACAUAUAUAUAUAUAUAUAUAAAACAAAUAUUUAAUAUUGGUAAGUGUUUAAAAAAUAUAUAUAUAUAUAUAUAUAUUCUAUCUUAUAAAACAAAAUUUGAAAAAUAUAGAUAUAAAUAUCAGCCCUCUUAUUGCUAAACUCAUCAUCCUCUAAUGGAGUGUAGACUGCUUUAUGAAAUGAAAUUUGUGUGUUUGACCAAAAAAAAGAAAAACAAAAUUUGAAAAAUAUAAAAAUUUAAAAAACACCCGUGCGGGCGCACAGAUCAGGAUCUAGUACUAUUUAAAAUUACAAAACAAAAAAAAAAUGUAAAAUACUAACCAAACUAUUAAGGAACUACAUUGAUUCUAUUAGAAAAUACCAUCAAAAGAGAAUACUAAACAUUUUGUCUAAACUUAUGUCAAAACAUCAAAAUAGUAUAUAUAAAAAUAAAUAGGUGAAUAAUAUCAAUAUAUAUCAACUAAUAAAAGUUAAAAUAAAAUCUAUCAGUUUAUUUAUUUAUAUAUAAAUUAUUGGUAUUAGAUAUAAAUAAUUACACAUUUAUAAUAUAGAUUACACAAGAUUAUAAAAUAAACUAAAACAAUGGAUAAACAAUCUAUAUAAAUAUAAAAUUGAAGAUGGUUUUUAACAUUUUAUGUCGAUAAAAGAUAUUUAGAAGAAAAUGUUUAUAAGAUAUAAAAAGUAAAAUUUCUUAAUAAAUUCGUGAAAUAAAUUAUUUAAAAUUUAUAUCAAAAAUAAAAAACAAUAUAAUUAAACAUAAAUAUAUAAUAUAAAUAUGUAAUCCGCGCGUAGCGCGAACAAAUUUUUAGUUAAAAGUUAAGAGACGGGUUCUUAUAUUCCGUUAAGAACCUCACCUUAAGGGCAUCAGCAUUGGGACUUCUUAAGCCCACUUCUUAGUAAAUUUGGGUCAAAAUUUAAAUAAAAAAGGCUGGAUAUGUUUGGAAAAACUUCUAAGUUAAGAAGUUAUUUGGCUCAUCCUUCAGGGGCACGUGUCGCAAGUGGACGGUUUACAAACACGGAAACGGGUUUGUCUCUCACUCUUUCUCUCUCUCUCUCUCGUUCAUCUCAUUUCUUUCUUUUCUCGAUCUCUCUCGACGCCGAAGGCACCAAAUCGGAAGCGUUGACGACGAUUCAGUGUUGUUGUUGCGGACGUCAUCUCCUCUAAGCCUCCCCUCAAUUGCGAUCUCUCCUCUUUCGAGCGAUCUCUUCCGUCACCUUCAAAUUCGAAAUCAUCCUCUCCUCCGACUGUUCAAAUCUUAACAAGGUAUGUGUUCCUCAUCCCUCGAUUUCUUUUGAUUAUAUCUUCGCUGUUGGUGAUUGUUUGGUUCGUGCAUGGCUCUUAUUUAUCCGCAACUGAUUUUUUUUUGGAAAUAAAAAUGGAAAAUUCGAAUGGAUAGAUUUAUUCCCUUGAUUGUUUAGUGAAUUAGGGUUUGGUUUCUGUUAGAUAAUUAAAAAAAAAAUGUGAUGAAUGGGUUAGCUAUGUUCGGAAUCGCUUGUUAAUGUUCAAGUUGCUCCUAUCUCACCCGGGUUUGUGAACUCUUUAAAUGUUUAAACUCUUGAAAAUAAUAUUGUUAUAGUUAGUUUUUGAAAGUGAGAUUGUUAAUGUUAGCUCUACUUUACUUAAAGGUGUGAUUUUUAGUGUUAUGUCAAGUUGCGAGUAGGAAAUGAAUGUUUUGGUUUAGGCUUAGGUAGAUAGGUUUGAUAAAAUUGUAGUUGCCUUCGUAUAGGAUGAGUGAAGUUUCUGUAGUUGCCAGUAGAAAAUGAAUGUUUAUGUUCUUGUUACUGCUUACAUAGCUGUAGUUGUGUGAAGUGUUAUUUGGGUAUAGCUUUGUAGUUGUGUGAAGAGUUAUUACUUGAAUGCUGUAAGGGAACUUGAAUGCUUUGUAGUUGAGUGAACUGUUAGGAGGAAUUUAAUGAGGAUUUCUAGUUUUGUGAGAUGGUUAAAGGUUUCAUUACUAUGGUUCGCGCUUUAAAAUUGGUUUGGUGUUUUAGUUUGUUUGGUCUGUUUGUUUGUGGCUAUAUGAUUGGAUCUUGUUUGUUUCUAACCGCAAUGUGUGUAGUAUAUAAUUUGGCUAUAUAAUUUAGUUACUUGAUUGCUUUUUUGGUUGCUAUGAGUGUAGUAACUGAUGAUUAGACCCUGGUAGUUUAUGGUUAGGUCAUUACUGACCGUCCUUAACUUUCUCAACUAUUUAACAACCACCUUCUUUCACUCUUGUUUUCGAAAUCAAACUAGUCUCCGGUUUCUAUCGGGUCUCUCUUAUAUAAUCUCUUUUGUUGUAAUCGUUAUGGAUUCAAGGAAUCCAUUGAAUCCAUAUGGUCAGUCCCCUAGUUUAGUCGGCCUCCUUAACAGUCAGAACUUUCCUUAUGAAAGUUAUGAAGCGGGUGUCCGCUUUGGAGAAUCACAACAGUCAUCAGAGAUCCCUCCUUUUAGUUCACAAGAAACCGAGACACCAGUGGGCUCUAAUAAGGAGAGAAAGAAGUGGACACCAGCUGAUGACGAGGUUAUAAUCAGCGCUUGGAUAAACACGUCUAAGGAUCCGGUUGUAGGAAAUUCACAGAAGCUAGGGACUUUCUGGUCCCGAGUUGGUGAAUAUUAUGCUGCUUCUCCACAUGCAGUACAGAGUGGUGACCCAAGAGAGCAUCUCAAUAUAAAGCAGAGGUGGCACAAGAUUAACGAUUUCACUAACAAGUUCUAUGCUGCAUAUGCAGCAGCAGAGAGACAGAUCACCUCUGGUCAAAGUGAGAACGAUGUUCUCAAGGUGCCGCACGACAUCUACUUCGCUGAUCACAAGAAGAAAUUUACUCUAGAGCAUGCGUGGUGUCUUCUGAGGUUUGAGCAAAAGUGGCUAAGCCUCAACACUCCUAAACCGAGUGGUACUUCUAAACGAAAAGGUUGUGAGACUCCUUGUCAGAGUACAAACACGACUGCUGCUGAUGAUGAGGUCCGGCCUGAAGGUAUAAAGGCCGCUAAGGCUAAAAGGAACACGGGUAAAGGAAAGUCAGUGGCUGAGUAUGCAACAAUUAUGGAUAUGAAGAGGGAAGAUUGGGAGAUGAAGAAGGAUGAUUUGGAUAGGAAGGAGAGACUAUCAAAGCUCGCUAUUCUAGACACUCUCUUAGCCAAAACAGAACCACUGAGUGUGGCUGAAGAAGUUGUCAAGAAUAAGCUACUAAACAUGUUGUUCUGAUAAAUAGUUCUUCGCUUGUUUCUAAAAAUGCUUGGUGUUUGCUUUUCUGCUUUUUUUUUAAUAUAUGUCUGUGUUUUAUUAAUGUAUGUGUUGAAGAUCAAUGUAUGUCUGUUUGUUCUCUGGUUGCAAUCUUGGUAUAAAUGCUUUGUGUUUGUUCUCUGGUUUGUAUUUCUGUUCUCAUCGUUCAUUAACCUUGGCCAUCUAAUUGUUUGUGCAGGUAUUAUUAUGAGAGCAUGUAUCAUACUCCAUAUCUAAUAUUAUGAGAACAUGUAUCAUACUCCAUAAUAUGAUUGUCGAAGAUGAACGACGUACAGACGAUCAAGAUGAGACGUUUCAAGAUCAUGAUGUUUCAUUUUGCGUUAAGAUGCCUACAGAGAUUUUUAGUUCACUUGAUCGUCGAGCAAGAGUUCGGGGUAGACCAGUCCAUCAACAAUUGAAACAUGAUUUGAUCGAAUAUAUAUGGGAUAAAUUUGGGUCUUAAAAUAAAAUCGGUGAAGUUUAUGUUAUUGUAAUUUUUUCUAACUUUGUAAUUUUUUUUUCUAACUUUGUAAUUUUUUUGUCUAUUUUGUAAUUUUUUUUUCAACUUUGUAAUGUUUUUAUGUUUAAUGUUAUAUGUUUUAUUAUAAAAUCCUACCAAACAAUUAUCAAAAAAACAAAAUUUAAUAUUUUGCUAAGAACCUACCAAAACUUCUACCAAUAAUCUUUACUUUUACUAUGUAUCUUACCAAAAUCUCUUAAUCUAAUUAUAUUAUUAAAAUAAUACUAAGAUCUAGCAAUGCUGGUGCCCUAAGAAUCUCUCAUUAAUCAUGAUCUUUUCCAUCUAGCGACACCGUUUUUCAGAAAUUUUUCCAUGGGUCCACUAACUUUGAUCUCGGCCCAAAUGGAACUGUAGACUCAAACUUUUGUCGGUUAUAUAAGAUCGAGUACAAAUGAUACAAAUAUUUGAGUCUCUAGAAAUUAAUCGUCCGCUUUUGAAAAUUUCUCGAAAUGUAGAGUUGUUUUAUUCGAAGAUCAUACAAGACACGUCCACACGUGGCGCAAAGCCAAGUUUUAAGAACGCCACGUGAUACUCUUUUGCAUGCAUCCCCUUUGAAUAUCAAGAUUCUCUUUCUCUGACUUUGAUUUCUGCACCUAUAAGUUUGUAUGAUCUCUAUUUAACCGAACAUCGAUAAGCUCAGCUUUAUCCAAUACAUACAUUUUCAUUUCGAUAACAAGAAAAAAUGCCAGGGAUCACACUAGGAGACACGGUGCCAAACCUAGAGGUGGAGACGACACACAAGAACUUCAAGCUCCAUGACUACUUCGCCGAUUCUUGGACCGUCCUCUUCUCUCACCCUGGUAUAUAAGACAUCCUUAUAUCUUGACUAACCCAGUCAAGUUUCGUUUUUUCCUUAAAUUGAUCAAAAUAUGUGAAGCAUCUCCAAUUUAUUUAAUGGACUCAAAGGGGAUUUCACACCCGUAUGCACAACCGAGCUUGGUGCGAUGGGAAAAUACGCUCAUGAGUUCGAGCAGAGAGGUGUGAAGCUCCUUGGUUUGUCUUGUGACGACAUACAGUCGCACAAAGAUUGGAUCCCCGACAUUGAGGCAUUUACUGUAAGAUUUAAUUUCAUGCAUGCAUGAUGCAUAUAAUAUAAAACUAAUUAACAUUUUGACAUACCUAUUACGUUCUCGUUUUGAUUAAUUGCAAGUAACAUUGUGUUCUUCUUUUAUUAUGACAUAAAAUUGAUAUAGCCUGGAAGCAAAGUGACAUACCCAAUAAUCGCUGAUCCGAACAAAGAGAUCAUCCCUCAGCUUAACAUGAUUGAUCCUAUUGAGAACGGUCCCUCUCGUGCCCUUCAUGUAGUUGGUCCUGAUUGCAAGGUAAAUGAUCAUAUGUCAUAAUUUCAUUCUCAUUUAUUUUUGCAUGUAUAUAUGAUUAAUUAUGAUUUUUUUUUAUAGAUAAAGUUGAGUUUCCUGUAUCCGUCCACCACGGGACGUAACAUGGACGAAGUGCUGAGGGCUUUAGACUCGUUGUUGAUGGCGGCCAAACAUAAGAACAAGAUUGCCACUCCGGUUAACUGGAAACCAGAUGAACCCGUUGUUAUCUCACCAGCUGUGUCAGACGAAGAGGCUAAGAAGUUGUUUCCUCAGGGU
rnacentral:lncRNA from 1 species